UUAAGCGGAGGAAAAGAAAACUAACAAGGAUUCCCCCAGUAACGGCGAGUGAAGCGGGAAGAGCUCAAGCUUAAAAUCUCCAUACUUGUAUGGCGAAUUGUAGUCUAUUGAGGCUGUUGUCAGCAUCGCGAUCGGGGACAAGUCCCUUGGAAAAGGGCAGCAUGGAGGGUGAUACUCCCGUCUCUGCUCCGAUUUGCGGUGUGUACGAUACGCUUUCUUUGAGUCGAGUUGUUUGGGAAUACAGCUCAAAGUAGGUGGUAAAUUCCAUCUAAAGCUAAAUAUUGGUGCGAGACCGAUAGCGAACAAGUACCGUGAGGGAAAGAUGAAAAGAACUUUGAAAAGAGAGUUAAAGAGUACCUGAAACUGUUGAAAGGGAACCGUAUCGUUUCCAGUGUUUUAUCUUGUGCAUAUUUCAUUCGCGGAGUAAUUUGCGGGUGCCCUGUGCAUGAGUGUGACGUCAGAGUCAGUUUGUAUGCUGCGGGAGAUGGUCAGUGAGGAGGUGCGUCACUUCGGUGAAAGUUAUAUCUCGCUGUCUAGUAGCCGUGGUUGAGACUGAGGUGCCUACAACAUGCCUUGGGGUUUUGUGUUGUCUCGUGUUGGUGACUGCUUUGAUAGCUUGCUAUGUCUGUGGUUUAUUAAUGCGAUUGAUGAUGCGGAUAACCUCUGCUGUUCGGGACUCUGGCGAAAUGGAGCGAUAC
rnacentral:rRNA from 1 species